AUGAUUUAUCUGAUUAAAAUUUUAAUGCGUUAACCCAUCUGCGACACACAAUGACUCUGAACGUCUCUGGUAACACAUUUCGGGUAGUUUGUCCAAACAGAGUUUCCAUAAAGGCAUAUGAAUGAAUGAU